UCUUUAUAUUCAGAGGAAAAGUUGAAAAAUUUGAAAGCGGAGGCCAAGACAGCACAAGCGGCCUUUGCAGAAGUGUUAGAGUACUAUGGAGAGAGCUCAAGAAGUUGGCUCCUAACACCUUCUUUGCCAUUUUUGUCCGUUUCACCAAAACUUAUAAGAUGGUGGAGCAAGAGAAUGAGCAGCGGCGCCGAUUAGAGGCUGCCUCCAAGCAGCAGCUCUGAACAACAGAAGCAACAACAGCAGCAGCAAGAAAGUCAGCAGGUGGUUAGAAACAACAAAAUCAAUGCACGUAAACAACAGGCUUACGGAGGAGAGGUAAUAUUUACAAAUGAUUUCUUUUUCAAUGUGUGUCUAAUGAACUUACUGUAUUAACUUC